rnacentral:tRNA from 1 species
GAGGUCGUGGUGUAACGGCAGCACAUCAGACUUUUAAUCUGUUGGGAGUAGGUUCAAAUCCUACCGGCCUCA